rnacentral:rRNA from 1 species
CGGCGCACGGGUGCGUAACGCGUAUGCAAUCUACCUUUCACAAAGGAAUAGCCCAGAGAAAUUUGGAUUAAUACCUUAUAGUAAUACGACUUGGCAUCAAGAUGUAUUUAAAGAUUUAUCGGUGAAAGAUGAGCAUGCGUCCCAUUAGCUAGUUGGUAAGGUAACGGCUUACCAAGGCAACGAUGGGUAGGGGUCCUGAGAGGGAGAUCCCCCACACUGGUACUGAGACACGGACCAGACUCCUACGGGAGGCAGCAGUGAGGAAUAUUGGACAAUGGGCGCAAGCCUGAUCCAGCCAUGCCGCGUGCAGGAUGACGGUCCUAUGGAUUGUAAACUGCUUUUAUACGAGAAGAAACACUCCGACGUGUCGGAGCUUGACGGUAUCGUAAGAAUAAGGAUCGGCUAACUCCGUGCCAGCAGCCGCGGUAAUACGGAGGGUGCAAGCGUUGUCCGGAUUUAUUGGGUUUAAAGGGUGCGUAGGCGGUUUAUUAAGUCAGUGGUGAAAGACGGUCGCUCAACGAUUGCAGUGCCAUUGAUAC